UCGAACACAUGGGCACUGGAAAAAAUUUCCCGAACAAAACACCAAUGGCUCUAAGAUCAAGAAUCGACAAAUGGGAUCUCAUAAAACUGCAAAGCUUCUGUAAGGCAAAGGACACUGUGGUUAGGACAAAAUGGCAACCAACAGAUUGGGAAAAGAUCUUUACCAAUCCUACAACAGAUAGAGGCCUUAUAUCCAAAAUAUACAAAGAACUCAAGAAGUUAGACUGCAGGGAAACAAAUAACCCUAUUAAAAAAUGGGGUUCAGAACUAAACAAAGAA
rnacentral:lncRNA from 1 species